rnacentral:rRNA from 1 species
UACAGAGGUCUCAAGCGUUGUUCGGAUUCAUUGGGCGUAAAGGGUGCGUAGGUGGCGCUGUAAGUCAGAUGUGAAAUUUCGGAGCUUAACUCCGAAACUGCAUUUGAUACUGCGGUGCUUGAGGACUGGAGAGGAGAUUGGAAUUCACGGUGUAGCAGUGAAAUGCGUAGAUAUCGUGAGGAAGACCAGUGGCGAAGGCGGAUCUCUGGACAGUUCCUGACACUGAGGCCCGAAGGCCAGGGGAGCAAACGGG